GGAUCCCUCGCGGGUGCACCG
rnacentral:siRNA from 1 species